ACCUGGGUGGCUCAGUUGGUUGAGCAUCUGACUUUGGCUCAGGUCAUGAUCUCACGGUUCAGGAGUUCAAGCCCCAGGUC
rnacentral:tRNA from 1 species